CCUACGGGAGGCAGCAGUGAGGAAUAUUGGUCAAUGGACGCAAGUCUGAACCAGCCAUGCCGCGUGAAGGAUGACGGCUCUAUGAGUUGUAAACUUCUUUUAUAUGAGGAUAAACUCAGAUACGCGUAUCUGUCUGAAAGUAUCGUACGAAUAAGGAUCGGCUAACUCCGUGCCAGCAGCCGCGGUAAUACGGAGGAUCCAAGCGUUAUCCGGAUUUAUUGGGUUUAAAGGGUGCGUAGGCGGUUUGUUAAGUCAGUGGUGAAAUCUGGAGGCUCAACUUGAAAAUUGCGUUUGAUACUGUCAGGCUUGAGAAUAGUAGAGGUGGGCGGAAUUGGUGGUGUAGCGGUGAAAUGCUUAGAGAUCACAAAGAACACCGAUUGCGAAGGCAGCUCACUAAGCUGCUUCUGACAUUGAGGCACGAAAGCGUGGGGAGCAAACAGGAUUAGAUACCCGAGUAGUC
rnacentral:rRNA from 1 species